rnacentral:lncRNA from 1 species
CAAUGGGAAACUAGGCCGCUGCAGGGCGGGAGGCCAGAGGGCCCAAGACAGGCCUGCGCUGGCGCUAAUGGGAAGCAAGACGGCUGCAGGGGGGCUUCCUGGGGGAGGAGGACCAGGCUCUUCUAGCUGUGGGCCAGGAGCAUGCACACAUUCACAGGCUGGCACUGCGGGGCAGCCGGGCCCAGGUGGCUCCUCUCCCUCUCCCCGGCCACCCCAUGAGAACUUCCCCACCCCCUUAGCUAUCUUUCCCACCGCAGCUCCUCAUCUGUCCCGGACAGUCCAGGGAGCCAGGAGGAGUUGCUGAGUGGCAGUCCACCAUCAGGCCAAGAACUCAGCCCCUUCAGAUGGCAGAAACCAAGUGCCAGAGCCCUGGGGGGCUUA